rnacentral:rRNA from 1 species
AGAGUUUGAUCCUGGCUCAGGACGAACGCUGGCGGCGUGCUUAACACAUGCAAGUCGAACGGUGAAGGAAAGCUUGCUUUCUGGAUCAGUGGCGAACGGGUGAGUAACACGUGAGCAAUCUGCCCUUGACUCUGGGAUAAGCGUUGGAAACGACGUCUAAUACCGGAUACGACCCUCGGAGGCAUCUCCUGGGGGUGGAAAGAAUUUUGGUCAAGGAUGAGCUCGCGGCCUAUCAGCUUGUUGGUGAGGUAAUGGCUCACCAAGGCGACGACGGGUAGCCGGCCUGAGAGGGUGACCGGCCACACUGGGACUGAAACACGGCCCAGACUCCUACGGGAGGCAGCAGUGGGGAAUAUUGCACAAUGGGCGCAAGCCUGAUGCAGCAACGCCGCGUGAGGGACGACGGCCUUCGGGUUGUAAACCUCUUUUAGUAGGGAAGAAGCGAAAGUGACGGUACCUGCAGAAAAAGCACCGGCUAACUACGUGCCAGCAGCCGCGGUAAUACGUAGGGUGCAAGCGUUGUCCGGAAUUAUUGGGCGUAAAGAGCUCGUAGGCGGUUUGUCGCGUCUGCUGUGAAAACCCGAGGCUCAACCUCGGGCCUGCAGUGGGUACGGGCAGACUAGAGUGCGGUAGGGGAGAUUGGAAUUCCUGGUGUAGCGGUGGAAUGCGCGAUAUCAGGAGGAACACCGAUGGCGAAGGCAGAUCUCUGGGCCGUAACUGACGCUGAGGAGCGAAAGCAUGGGGAGCGAACAGGAUUAGAUACCCUAGUAGUCC